GUGAAUCAUCGAAUUUUUGAACGCAUAUUGCACUCUCUGGUAUUCCGGAGAGUAUGCCUAUUUGAGGGUCAUUUAAAUUAUAUUAAUUUCAAGAUUUUCCGGGAUUUUAAAUGGGUUGUUCAUUUUUUGUUGUUCGCUUAAUUCAAGAACAGCCCCUUUUCUUUGGUUUCCUGAUUAUUUUCGUUACCUCGUG
rnacentral:misc_RNA from 1 species